rnacentral:rRNA from 1 species
AUUGAACGCUGGCGGCAGGCCUAACACAUGCAAGUCGAACGAGUGGCGGACGGGUGAGUAAUGUAUGGGAAACUGCCUGAUGGAGGGGUAUAACGACGGUAAACGGUAGCUAAUACCGCAUACCAUCAGAUGUGCCCAGAGGGGAUUAGCUUGUUGGUGGGGUAACGGCUCACCAAGGCGACGAUCCCGAGCUGGUCUGAGAGGCUGACCGGCCACACUGGAACUGAGACACGGUCCAGACUCCUACGGGAGGCAGCAGUGGGGAAUAUUGCACAAUGGGCGCAAGCCUGAUGCAGCCAUGCCGCGUGUAUGAAGAAGGUCUUCGGGUUGUAAAGUACUGUCAGCGGGGAGGCGUUACCCGCAGAAGAAGCACCGGCUAACUCCGUGCCAGCAGCCGCGGUAAUUC